rnacentral:rRNA from 1 species
GACGAACGCUGGCGGCGUGCUUAACACAUGCAAGUCGAACGGAAAGGCCCUGCUUUUUGGGGUGCUCGAGUGGCGAACGGGUGAGUAACACGUGAGUAACCUGCCCUUGACUUUGGGAUAACUUCAGGAAACUGGGGCUAAUACCGGAUAGGAGCUCCUGCUGCAUGGUGGGGGUUGGAAAGUUUCGGCGGUUGGGGAUGGACUCGCGGCUUAUCAGCUUGUUGGUGGGGUAGUGGCUUACCAAGGCUUUGACGGGUAGCCGGCCUGAGAGGGUGACCGGCCACAUUGGGACUGAGAUACGGCCCAGACUCCUACGGGAGGCAGCAGUGGGGAAUAUUGCACAAUGGGCGGAAGCCUGAUGCAGCAACGCCGCGUGCGGGAUGACGGCCUUCGGGUUGUAAACCGCUUUCGCCUGUGACGAAGCGUGAGUGACGGUAAUGGGUAAAGAAGCACCGGCUAACUACGUG